ensembl:lncRNA
UGUUCAUAUAAUUACAUUUGUAUUAUUGUAAGGGCAGACGGUGUCGGAGAGCUGCGCAGGCAAUCAUAACCAAAUCCUAACUCGGGAAUCCUAACUUUGGGGACAUUUAUUCCCAAAAGGCACUGAAAUCCUGAAAUAAAACCACUCCUGACAAUUGAUGGCUUGUCCUUGCCAAUAUCACUCGGAGAGAUCACUGUCCAUGCUCCUGUGUCCGGAGCCCACUCAUGUGAAGGCUGCGUUGGAAGUUCUGAGUAGGUCUGCUCAGGAGAGCAGAAAGCAGCUGGUGGUGGAGAUACUGAAGGAUCCUAAGAGAGAGCGCUACAUCAGGACACUAGAAUAUUUACUCAGCUCCACAGACUCGUGGCUUUGCAGUACCGCAGCCUAUCUUCUUGGAGUCCUGGUGGAGAGAGAGGAGGUUGUGCAGCAGCUCAAGGACAAGGCUCCAAAGGGCAGCAACAGCCUUGUUGGGACUCUAGGGAAGCUCCUAACCAGACAUGAUCCAGACAUUGUGAUGAAUGCUGCUGGUGCUUUAGCCUCUUUGGUUGAGAGCUCGGCUGGACGUGGGUGGCUACAGAGAGACCAGGCUGUGUUUGGUCAGCUCUUGACCAGCCUGUUGACCCUGCUGGACCACGGACCGGAGAGCAUGGUGAACUCUGCUGCCCUGAUCCUGGCCAGGCUGUCCCUGUGUGAUGUAGCCUGCCAAGGCCUGUUACGCCACCCCUCAGCCCCCAGCACCUUGGGCUGCCUGGUACAAUGCCUGGCACACAGCCAUACAGACACGGCUAUGAAUGCAGCCUUUGCUUUGGGUCGUCUGUGUGGAAGUGAAAGAGGCAGGAGUCUCAUUCUGACAUUUGCGCCAGAGUACCAACUGGUUCACAGUCUGCAAGCCCUCAUGAGUGAGGUGGCAGGGCCAGAGGCAGGACAGACAGCCUGUUUUGCAUUGAGUUGCCUAGUAACAGAAGAAGAUGGACACGCUCUGGUGCUGGGUAGCCCAUCCCUUCCCAGCCUUCUUGAUGCUCUUCUCUACCGCUUACAAACAGAAGACCAGGACAGUGCCUGGUUUGCUGCCAUGGCAGUGAAAGUGUUCGUGUCACGACCGGCAGGAGUGUUACACGUGCGAGAGCACAGGUCUCUGAGGGAGCGACUGAAGUCUCUCUCUAGCUCUCCCUCCAUUGGCAAGGAUCUCAGGGAGGAAGUGACCUCAUGUCUUAGGAAGCUGGAGCCACUUGUUAAGCCAUUGCCCCCGACAACUAGGCGCCUCCCAUCUGGGGCCUGCACUGUGUCAUGGGAGAAGUGUUUCCCUGAGAGUGGCCUAGAGGUCACUUACAGCCUUCUGGACAGAGAGAUAGUUCUGUAUCGUGGAACCCAAUGUCACGUGACUUUACCGGUAUCAGUCCUCAAACCUGGUCAUGAGUUCUCACUCCGACUGAUCCACUCUUCCGCUGAUGGAGACACCAGCCCCUGCAGCGAGCCUGUGCUAUUGGUCAUAGAAUCAGAGGAGACGGGGACAAGGCCUGGUCCUCCACAGAAGCUGCGCGUGAUUGGAUGCACAGCCUCUCAUGUGCGACUGAGUUGGGUUGCGCCGGCGGGUGAGCUGAAGCCCCAGGUGUAUCAGCUGUAUCGUGGGGAAACACUACUAGAUACCACAACAGAGCUGAGGGCUGUAGUGGGUGGUCUGUCCCCGGGAACCAUUUUCCAGCUGGGUGUGUGCGCAGUGGGGCCAGGGGAAGAGGUGGGCCCCUGUGCGGAGGUGGAGGUUCGUACAGCCAAGGACCAGGACCACGCACCCAGCGGCCUGACCAUGGUGGUGCUGGGCAGGCAUGAGCUGCAGAUCAUGUGGGGGGCUCCCCUGGUGCCCCUGGGUCGCCUGUUCAACUAUGAGCUGAGGCUGAACGAUUGCGUGGCUUACUUGGGCACGGCGUGUGCUCACACUGCCCGCCGUCUGGCCGCCAACACGGCCUACACCUGUACUGUAACGGCCAUCACCACCAGAGGGCGCUCUCAGAGCCGGUCCGUCACUAAGAGGACCGCUCGCGACGAGUACCCGUACACACAGAGGUGUCUGUACUCCUCCAGCCGUCAGCCUCCUCCUAAGAUUCCUUCAUCACCAACAGAGGUCAGACGAAAGGUCACAGAGAUCGGGGAAAAGGCCAAGAAACCCCACUCUGCACACGACCAUCUGACCAAGGUCCAUCUGUCCAGCAGGCAAUACAGAGGGCCUGAUCACGACAGAGAGAGACACAGGCAACCUUUGGUCUCCACUUCAUCUGCUGGCUGUGAAAGCAGCAAAAUGGAAUCAUCUGAGAUGAUGACCAUGGGGCUGGUGAAUGGAUAUGAUGCAAAGGCCUUAUGGAGGAGAGCCAAAGAGAGGGCAGGAGUAUCUGUCUUCCCUGCUGGGCUUCCAGUCCGGCCCCUGCUCCAUCUCCAGGCUAAGACUGAGGAAAACCUGCUUGAGAGGCAGUCCCACCGUGGCCUGGACCAGCAUUUAGACCCUUCAUGCCUCAGGGCCCAAAUAAGCCCAUGGAUGCUUCUCCAGUGGAGUGCUCUCAGAAGAGGACCUAGAGACAGAGGAAAACUCCCCUGUAUCCCCCAUCAUAUAGAUGCAGUGAAGUUAGUCCAUCCCAUUCCUCCCUCCUACCCACAACUGGACUGGACAGGAAACUAUAAAGACAAGCUGCUGAGAGACCGGACAAGGCUUUUGACAGGACCAAGAGUGCAGAGCGAAAUCCGAGGAAGACAUCCCCUAACAACAAACUGGACCAAGCUAAGCUGA